AACUGGACACACCUGGAUGUCCAUCAACAGAUGAAUAGAUAAACUGGGAUUGCACUGUAUUUAUGCAAUCAAAUACUACUCCACAAUAAAAGGGAUGUCAAUACAUGAAACAACAUGUAUCUCAAAAUAUAUCUCGGAAUAAUUAUGCAAAGUGAGAGAAGUCAGACCAAACAACAGUACAAACUAUAUGAUUCCAUUUGUAUAAAUUCUAGACAAUGCAAGCUAAUCCAUGAUGAUAGAAAUCAGAUCAGUGGUUUCUUGGGUCAGGGGCUACAAGGAGGUAGAGAGAUAGGAAUUAUAAGGAAACUUUUGGGGGUGACGGAUAAGUUCAUUACCUUGUGUUGAUGGUUUCACAGGAAUAUACAUGUGUCAAAACAUCAAAUUGUACAUUUAAAAAAUGUGCAGUUUAUUGUAUACAAAUUAUAUCUUAACAAAGCUGUGCCUGUUUUUUGACCAACUAAUUUUAUUUUUAAAAUGAUACACAAGGAAAUCCAAUAUGGCACAGUUACACAAAUUAUCAUACAGCCACAUGUUGUAAUACUAUGCAACCUUAAAAUCAUGAUUUUGAAGAAUGUUAAAUAAUAUGAGAAUAUGCUCAAAAUACAUUAAGUGAAAAAGGAGAAUAUAAACAACUGUAUAAUAUCAAUUAUUGAUAUAAUCUGA